AAGGGUUUGUUGGGGUCCAUUCCACGGAUUCCGUGACGCAGCUAACGCAUUAAGUUCCCCGCCUCGGGUGAGUACGGCCGCAAGGCUAAAACUCAAAGGAAUUGACGGGGACCCGCACAAGCGGCGGAGCAUGCGGAUUAAUUCGAUGCAACGCGAAGAACCUUACCAAGGCUUGACAUAUAGAGGAAACGUCUGGAAACAGUCGCCCCGCAAGGUCUCUAUACAGGUGGUGCAUGGUUGUCGUCAGCUCGUGUCGUGAGAUGUUGGGUUAAGUCCCGCAACGAGCGCAACCCUCGUUCUAUGUUGCCAGCACGUAAUGGUGGGAACUCAUGGGAUACUGCCGGGGUCAACUCGGAGGAAGGUGGGGAUGACGUCAAAUCAUCAUGCCCCUUAUGUCUUGGGCUUCACGCAUGCUACAAUGGCCGGUACAAAGGGCUGCAAUACCGUGAGGUGGAGCGAAUCCCAAAAAGCCGGUCCCAGUUUCGGAUUGAGGUCUGCAACUCGACCUCAUGAAGUCGGAGUCGCUAGUAAUCGCAGAUCAGCAUCGCUGUCGGUGAAUA
rnacentral:rRNA from 1 species